CUCCGCCUCCCAUUUUCCACCCUGGGCUCACAUCCUCUUGCCAAUGCACUGAUGGCGACAGCAACACUGCAAAAGCGGGACUUUGUAAGAGUGCCCUGCAAAUGAAAGCAGAGAGGGGGGACCCCUCCCCUUUGCGUACAGAGCGACACUGACAUGAGCAAGCGACGACAACAACAGGAGGGAGGGAGGAAUAAGGCAGGAAUCCAUGACGCUCGUUGGUAGCUGUUAUUCAUGCGCAAGGAGUUUGCUUCUGCUGCAUCUGAACACUGGAAUCUCCAGAGGGACACAGAGGGGACUUUGGGCACCUCGGCAGCACCAAUAUUUACAGGAAUUACAGGUACUGAUAUCUCAAAGGAACAGAAGAGACUUUUUAUGUAUGGAACAACAGCUGCCCGGACGUUACCAGCCCAGAGAUGGAAAGAAGACAAAGUCCUUAUCAGAGAGGAGUAGCAAACCAAGCUGAUAGACUAUGCCGAGAUGGCAAAACUGACUGGAAAACUUGGGAACCAAGAGGACAAAAACUUUAUAAAAGAAUGGAGAAAAUUUAUAAGUUACUUAGGAGACCACUGUAAGCAGAUGGGGACAUUAGCAGGAUUUUGAUCUCACUUGUAGUUUAGCAAUUACCACGGACAAUGUGGUUUGAUAUAAAAAUUGAAGUAUGAAAGAAUAUGCAGUAAUUAGUGUUCAAAAUGGGACACCAUGGGGUGGAUGGGGCGGGGAAGUGUCCGGAGAUUUGGAGGAAUCUCUUUAUUUGAAUAUACUUUUUGAUUCUUUGUUUACAACUUUGUAUUGGGAAAACCAAUAAAAAUGAUUUUAAAAAAUGAUGAUGAUGUUCACCAUAAGAUUAAAAAAAAUCAGCAUA